rnacentral:lncRNA from 1 species
GAACUUCUAUGCAUAAAAUUCCUCGUCAGCAGUAGAGGGGAAUCAUUCCGAAUGGCACUAAGGUCAUUCUUCAACACCACAUCUCCAAAUGUUAAAGAACUCUCCUCAGUUGGAACAUUGAGAGCGAUCUGCAACCUCCUCUUCACAGUAUGAGCAUUGUCACUACGGUCCAACUCCAUCCCCAGCACACAACCAGUGUCAGUUUGCACAAAAACCCGUCUCCUCCCAGUAGAUUUCCCUUCCAUC